rnacentral:misc_RNA from 1 species
AAGUCGUAACAAGGUAUCUGUAGGUGAACCUGCAGAUGGAUCAUUUCGAUGAAAACCUUUUUUCUGAGGUGUGGCUCGCACCUGUCUAACUAAACUUGAGCUACCCAAUUUUCAACACGGUUGCAUCGGUUAGCUGUCAAACAGUGCGGAAACGCGUUGUGCGACGGUUGACACAAACACAAACACUUUUGAUGAUCUAGGAUUUGAAUGAAAGUUCAUUUUUAUGAUGGAACCGACUGGUAAUGCGGUCGUCUAAAUCUAAAAAACAACUUUUGGCAACGGAUCUCUUGGUUCUCC